rnacentral:ribozyme from 1 species
UUUUUUUUUUUUUUUUUUUUUUUUUUUUUUUUUUUUUUUUUGUUUAAUGCACCUUUAAUGC